CAUCCCUGACCUGAGCUCUGUGAGCUGAUUCCACCAGUGACUGAGCACAGACCACCACCAUGGAGCUGGGGCUGCGCUGGGUUCUCCUUGUUGCUCUGUUGAAAGGUGUACAGUGUGAGGUGCAGCUGGUGGAGUCUGGGGGAGGCUUGGUGCAGCCUGGGGGGUCCCUGAGACUCACCUGUGCAGCCUCCGGAUUCACCUUCAGUAAUUACUACAUGCACUGGGUCCGCCAGGCUCCAGGGAAGGGGCUGGAGUGGGUUGCACGAAUUGAUCCAGGGGGUGGUAGCACACGGUAUCCAGAGUCUGUGAAGGGCCGGUUCACCAUCUCCAGAGACAACAGUAAAAGCACGCUGUACCUGCAAAUGAGCAGCCUGAGAACUGAGGACAUGGCCCUGUAUUACUGUGCAAGAGACACAGUGAGAGAAGCCCAGUGGGAGCCCAGACACAAACAUGCAUGCAACCUAGGCCAGCAGGGGGCGCUGAGCCCGCAUCAGCUGCAGGCUCCAGGGAAGGGGCUGGAGUGGAUUUCAUCCAUCGAUGGUAGUAGUAGCACAUACUACCCAGACUCUGUGAAGGGCCGCUUCACCAUCUCCAAAGACAACAGCAAGAGCACACUUUACCUGCAGAUGAACAGCCUGAGAGUGGAGGACACAGCCGUCUAUUACUGUGCUACAGACACAGUGCAGGAAAUCCAGUAUUUUAGGUGA